CCCCCCGAAUUCUGCAUGAGUGGAGCGGAGAUCCUAGUGCAUUUAAAAUUCACUGUAAUUGUAAAAAUGUAUUAUUUAAAAAAAUAUAUAUAUAGAUAAGAGCUUCAUGUAUUGGAUCCCUCCUUUUUGAGGGACACGGAAACAGGCGCAGUUCAUCAGAGUCCCUCCCAUUCAGCCCUUCUGAAGUGUCCUUUGCACUGGCACAUGCCAGGCUGAUCUUCCUUGGUGUGAGAGUUAAAAACCAGGAGAACUGUAAGCAACCAUUUUGGAGAUGGCAUUCGUCACAUCAGAGGAAGCAGGUGGGACGCAGAAUAAAUCACUCAGGGGAAGUUCCCAAUUAGUGGAAGCCUGCCAUUUUUGGGCCGGUGCGGUGUGUGAAUUUAGAUGCGACUUUGACGUUCCCAGUUAUUCGAUAUUUCGCCAGCAGAUGCCACUGUUGACUGCAUAAGUGUUCUCACGUUAUUUGUUUCAUUUGCACAAAUUUCUGUAGCUUAUAUCGUGGGGUACCCAGAAAUAAGCGCUGUUCAGUAAUAAAUAAAUAAAUUGUUUACGUACUUUUCUAUA